rnacentral:rRNA from 1 species
CACCGGCGGCUCGAGUGGUGGCCACUUUUAUUGGGUCUAAAGCGUCCGUAGCCGGCUUGGCAAGUCCCCUGGGAAAUCUGGCGGCUUAACCAUCAGGCGUCCAGAGGAUACUGCCAGGCUUGGGACCGGGAGAGGUGAGAGGUACCUCAGGGGUAGGGGUGAAAUCUUGUGAUCCCUGAGGGACCACCAGUGGCGAAGGCGUCUCACUAGAACGGGUCCGACGGUCAGGGACGAAAGCUGGGGGCACGAACCGG